rnacentral:sRNA from 1 species
ACAGUUUUUCAUAUUUCUUUGCUGUCGUUUGUUUGUUACAUGGACGACGUUUUAUGCUUGGAAGUUCAUGACUUUCUCGGAUGAAAGAGAUCAAUUACAGAAGCCCAUCUUAUUGAACUCGGUUCAGGGAUUUGAUAUUGUGCCGCCCGAUAAAGCAAUUACAAAUCAUACAGAGAUGUCUGGAUUCGCCAAUAGCUUCUUCUGAAAUCUCAUUAGUGCAAACUUCUGCACUCACCAAUCGAAUCUAUUUGCCUCAUUUAUCAUUCAGAAUGUUACUCUUUUUUCAUGGAAC